CUUCACGUGAAAAUAGUUCACCCCAUCCACAUUAAAGACAGGCGGCGCCUCUUCUUGUCCAUCCUCCUUCCAGAACUUCACUUUACGGAAAAAUAUUUCUGCACUUCCUUUUGGUACUUCACCGCGAUAGUCGCGAAAGACAAUAUUAUCGCCUCGCUGGGUGGGAUAGCACAAAGAACUGAGAGAUCAUGAUUUCUCAGCUUCUUCUUCCUCUUCCCUUUGUUCUCUGAAUCUGCGUCUUU
rnacentral:misc_RNA from 1 species